CCUACGGGCGGCAGCAGUUAGGAAUUUUGGGCAAUGGGCGAAAGCCUGACCCAGCAACGCCGCGUGGGGGAGGAAGGCCUUCGGGUCGUAAACCCCUUUUCUGGGGGAAGAAAUGGACGGUACCCCAGGAAUAAGCCUCGGCUAACUCUGUGCCAGCAGCCGCGGUAAAACGGAGGAGGCUAGCGUUAUCCGGAUUUAUUGGGCGUAAAGGGCGCGCAGGCGGCCCUGGAAGUUGGGGGUGAAAUCUCCCGGCACAACGGGGAGGGGUCCCGCAAUACUCGGGGGCUAGAGGUCAGCAGAGGAAGGGGAAAUUCCGGGUGUAGGGUUAAAAUGCGUAGAUAUCGGGAGGACCACCGUUGGCGAGGGCGGCCUUCUGGGCUGAUCC
rnacentral:rRNA from 1 species